rnacentral:rRNA from 1 species
UACGUAGGGGGCGAGCGUUGUCCGGAUUCAUUGGGCGUAAAGCGCUUUAAGGCGGUUCGCUAAGUCGGGUGUGAAACCUCCAGGCUCAACCUGGAGACGCCACUCGAUACUGGCGUGACUAGAGUCCGGUAGGGGACCACGGAAUUCCUGGUGUAGCAGUGAAAUGCGCAGAUAUCAGGAGGAACACCAGUGGCGAAGGCGGUGGUCUGGGCCGGAACUGACGCUGUAGAGCGAAAGCGUGGGGAGCGAACAGG